rnacentral:ncRNA from 2 species
GAAUAAUCUUUAAUAUAAGGUGCCCUUAAUAAAAGGGAGAAUAGGGAAACCGGUGACGCUUUAAAGCAGAAUCCGGUGCGGACCCACCACUGUUAGCGGCGACAAUUUUCCACACUCGUUCACUGGAGGCGCCACUGUGCGUAAAGCAUGGGAAGGCGGAAAAGAGGAUGAGCCGCAAGCCAGGAGACCUGCCUUAUACUUAUCUAAUAG